UACGGAGGGUGCAAACGUUGCUCGGAAUCAUUGGGCGUAAAGCGUGCGUAGGCGGCGCAGCAAGUCGGAUGUGAAAGCCCUCGGCUCAACCGAGGAAGUGCAUCGGAAACUACUGUGCUGGAGUACUGGAGAGGGUGACGGAAUUCCCGGUGUAGAGGUGAAAUUCGUAGAUAUCGGGAGGAACACCAGCGGCGAAGGCGGUCACCUGGUCAGAUACUGACGCUGAGGCACGAAAGCGUGGGGAGCAAACAGG
rnacentral:rRNA from 1 species